rnacentral:tRNA from 1 species
GUGGCUGUGGCCUAAUGGUUAAGGCUCCUGACUGUGACUCAGGCAACUGUGGGUUCGAGUCCCACCAGUCACC